UGGCUCAGUGGUAGAGCACUUGCCUUGCAUGCAUGAGGCCUUGGGUUUGAUUCCUCA
rfam:Dipodomys ordii contig_22422, whole genome shotgun sequence.